rnacentral:rRNA from 1 species
UACGGGGGGGGCAAGCGUUGUUCGGAAUUACUGGGCGUAAAGGGCUCGUAGGCGGCCAACUAAGUCAGACGUGAAAUCCCCAGGCUUAACCUGGGAACUGCGUCUGAUACUGGAUGGCUUGAAUUCGGGAGAGGGAUGCAGAAUUCCAGGUGUAGCGGUGAAAUGCGUAGAUAUCUGGAGGAAUACCGGUGGCGAAGGCGGCAUCCUGGACCGACAUUGACGCUGAUGAGCGAAAGCGUGGGGAGCGAACAGG